rnacentral:rRNA from 1 species
GACAGAGGGUGCAAACGUUGUUCGGAAUUACUGGGCGUAAAGAGCGUGUAGGCGGCCAGGUAGGUCUGCUGUGAAAACUCGAGGCUCAACCUCGAGACGUCGGCGGAAACCAUCUGGCUAGAGUCCGGAAGAGGAGAGUGGAAUUCCUGGUGUAGCGGUGAAAUGCGCAGAUAUCAGGAAGAACACCCGUGGCGAAGGCGGCUCUCUGGGACGGUACUGACGCUGAGACGCGAAAGCGUGGGGAGCGAGCAGG